CACUGGCAUGUGCUAGCAAGUGACAAAUCAGAAACAACUGACUGUCCCCUGGACUGUCCUAAGCCAAGAUUGAGCCACAAUUGGCACAUGUGAGACACAGGAAGUGAGGUAGAAAAUUGCCUUUGGAGUUCUCGUCACUUCCUGUGAGGAGGCCUGGGCACCAGUUGACCCUGGAAUUCAAGCCUAGAGGAGCGCCUCAGACAGCUUCCUUGAGAUGGUCACGUGGAAACGGGAUCAAAAAGGAGCACAGACUUAACCUGAAUAGUGCCAAAAAGAGCACACAAGUCAAAAAAGAAAGAAACCAAUCCAGAAAGCUCUUCAGUGAAGAAUCUUGCUAACUUCUAAAAUCCAGAGAAUGAACUGUUUGCAAAAAGAUCCCUAAACCCUUAUACUACAUCAGGAAGAUCCAGAAUGAACCUUGGGGUGUGGUUGAUUGAACUGAAGGUUUAUUGAACAUUUAUUUUGAAUGUACACUCUUAUGCCAAAAGGGGACUGCCCCC
rnacentral:lncRNA from 1 species